CCUACGGGGGGCAGCAGUGAGGAAUAUUGGUCAAUGGACGAGAGUCUGAACCAGCCAAGUAGCGUGAAGGAUGACUGCCCUAUGGGUUGUAAACUUCUUUUAUAUGGGAAUAAAAUGUUCCACGUGUGGGAUUUUGUAUGUACCAUAUGAAUAAGGAUCGGCUAACUCCGUGCCAGCAGCCGCGGUAAUACGGAGGAUCCGAGCGUUAUCCGGAUUUAUUGGGUUUAAAGGGGGCGUAGGUGGAUUGUUAAGUCAGUUGUGAAAUUUUGCGGCUUAACCGUAAAAUUGCAGUUGAAACUGGCAGUCUUGAGUACAGGAGAGGUAGGCGGAAUUCGUGGUGUAGCGGUGAAAUGCUUAGAUAUCACGAAGAACUCCGAUUGCGAAGGCAGCUCACUGGACUGCAACUGACACUGAGGCUCGAAAGUGUGGGUAUCAAACAGGAUUAGAUACCCGUGUAGUC
rnacentral:rRNA from 1 species